GAUGAACGCUAGCGGCAGGCUUAACACAUGCAAGUCGAGGGGUAUAGUUCUUCGGAGCUAGAGACCGGCGCACGGGUGCGUCACGCGUAUGCAAUCUACCUUCUGCAGAGGGAUAGCCCAGAGAAAUUUGGAUUAAUACCUCAUGGUAUGUGAGAAUGGCAGCCUUUUCACAUUAAAGGCACAACGGCCAAAGAUGAGCAUGCGUCCCAUUAGCUAGAUGGUAAGGUAACGGCUUACCAAGGCAACGAUGGGUAGGGGUCCUGAGAGGGAGAUCCCCCAGACGUGUACUGAGACACGGACCAGACUCCUACGGGAGGCAGCAGUGAGGAAUAUUGGACAAUGGGCGCAAGCCUGAUCCAGCCAGGCCGCGUGCAGGAUGACGGUCCUAUGGAUUGUAAACUGCUUUUGUACAGGAAGAAACACUGGUUCGUGAACCAGCUUGACGGUACUGUAAGAAUAAGGAUCGGCUAACUCCGUGCCAGCCGCCGCCGUAACAC
rnacentral:rRNA from 1 species